CAAAAAGUAGUUUAAAAAAAAAUUUAAGCUUUGGGAGCUUAAGAUGUAGGUAGCUAUCUUUUUGA
rnacentral:tRNA from 1 species